rnacentral:rRNA from 1 species
GACGAACGCUGGCGGCGUGCUUAACACAUGCAAGUCGAACGGAAAGGCGCCUUUGGGGGUACUCGAGUGGCGAACGCGGGCGUAACAGUAGAGUAAGCUUCCCUUGACUUCGGGAUAAGUUCAGCAAACGGGGGCUAAUACCAGAUAGGAAUCCUUGCUUCAUCGGGAGGGUUGGAAAGUUUCGGCGGUUUUGGCUGGACUUGCGGCCUAUCAGCUUGUUGGUGGGGUAGUGGGUUACGAAGGCUUUGACGGGUAGCCGGCCCGAGGAGGCGACCGGCCACCUUGGGACUGAGAUACGGCACAGAUUCGUACGGGAGGCAGAAGUGGGGAAUAUUGCACGAUAGACGCAAGCCUGAUGCAGCAAGGCCGCGUGCGGGAUGACGGCCUUCGGGUUGUAAACCGCUUUCAGCAGGGGCGAAGCUUGUGGUGACGGUACCUGCAGAAGAAGCACCGGCUAACUACGUG